CCACCAAUCAUUUUACAAACAUUAAAAAUCAAAUCAAAUUAUUCACAAUACAGCUCAUCAAUUAUUUAAUAUACGAUCAAUCAACCACAAAAGACUAUAAAACAUACAAAAUACUAAAAACUACAAUUCAUCAUCCACAUCUUUAUUCUCAGCCUCCCCCAUUCUAUUAUCAAUAUUUCGUUGAUAUAUCCAGCUAUAAUCAAGUUUCAUCUACACAAUCAAUCACAUUCAAGUAAUUAGUUCAAGUCACAAAAGUUCGCAUUUCAAAUACCUACACCUAAACAUUUUCAAGUCACUAAUUCACUUCACAAGUUACCAAACUAAACUUAAUUCAAAAUGAAAAAAUUCACGUUUUCAAGUACCUACACUUAAACAUUUUGAAGUCACAAAUUCACUUCUCAAGUGACCACACUUUACUAAAAUCAAAACGCAAGUUCACAUUUCAAGUACCUAAAUUCAAAACAAAAGUUCACUAAUCCAUAAUUCAAGUAACUACACUUAAACAUUUCAAGUCACUAAGUCACUUCACAAGUUACCUAUCUAAACUAAAUUAAAAAUGAAAAAUUCACAUUUCAAGUACCUACACCUAAACAUUUAAGUCACUAAUUCACUUCACAAGUUACCAAACUAAACUAAAUUUAAAAUGAAAAGUCCACAUUUCAAAUACCUACAUCUAAACAUUUUCAAGCCAAACUAAACUAAAUUCAAAAUGAAAAGUUCACAUUUCUAAGUCACUAAUUCACUUCAAACGUUAUCAAACUAAACUUAAUUCAAAAUGAAAAGUUCACAUUUCAAGUACCUAUACUUAAACAUUUUCAAGUCACUAAUUCACUUCACAAGUUACUAAAGUAAACUUAAUUCAAAAUGAAAAGUUCACGUUUCAAGUACUUACACUUAAACAUUUUCAAAUCACUAAUUCACUUCUCAAGUGACCACACUUUACUAAAAUCAAAACGCAACCUAAAUUCAAAUUAAAAAUCAAUAAUUCAUAAUUCAAGUAAUUACACUUAAACAUUUUAAGUCACUAACUCACUUCACAAGUUACCUAACUAAACUAAAUUAAAAAUAAAAAAUUCAUAUUUCAAGUACCUACACUUAAACAUUUACAAGUUACCAAACUAAACUUUAUUCAAAAUGAAAAGUUCACCUUUCAAGUACCUACACUAAAAUACUUUUAAGUCACUAAUUCACUUCUCAAGUAACCACACAUUACUAAAAUCAAAAUACAAGUUCAUAUUUCAAGUACCUAAAUUCAAAACAAAAGUCACUAAUUCAUAAUUCAAGUAACUACACUUAAAUAUUUCAAGUCACUAAUUUACUUCACAAGUUACCAAACUAAACUAAAAUCAAAAUGAAAAGUUCACAUUUCAAGUACUACACUUAAACAUUUCAAGUCACUAAUUCACUUCACAAAGUUAGCGAACUAAACUAAAUUCAAAAUAAAAAUUUCACAUUUCAAGUACCUACACCUAAACAUUUUCAAGUUACUAAGUCACUUAACAAGUUACCAAACUAAAGUAAAUUCAAAAUGAAAAGUUCACCUUUCAAGUACCUACACCUAAACAUUUUCACGUCACUAAGUCACUUCACCAGUCCACCUUCCAAGUAACUACACUUAAACAUUUUCGACUCACUAAUGCACUUCUCAAGUGACCACACUUAACUAAAAUUCAAAACAUAAGUUCACAUUUCAAGUACCUACACUUAAAACAUUUUCAAAUCACUUAUUCACUUCUCAAGUGACCACACUUAACUAAAUUCAAAUCACCAAAGUUCACAUUUCAAGUACCUACACUUAAAUAUUUUCAAGUCACUAAUUCACUUAACACGUUACCAAACUAAACUUAAUUCAUAAUGAAAAGUUCAAGUUUUAAGUACCUACACUUAAACAUGUUCAAGUCACUAAUUUACUUCUCAAGUGACCACACUUUACUAAAAUCAAAACGCAACUUAAAUUCAAAAUAAAAGUCACUAAUUCAUAAUUCAAGUAACUACACUUAAACAUUUCAAGUCACUAACUCACUUCACAAGUUACCUAACUAAACUAAAUUCAAAAUGAAAAUUUUACAUUUCAAGUACCUACACCUAAACAUUUACAAGUUACCAAACUAAACUUAAUUCAAAAUAAAAAGUUCACCUUUCAAGUACCUACACUUAAACAUAUUCAAGUCACUAAUUCACUUCUCAAGUGACCACACUUUACUAAAAUCAAAACACAAGUUCACAUUUCAAGUACCUAAAUUCAAAACAAAAGUCACUAAUUCAUAAUUCAAGUAACUACACUUAAAUAUUUCAAGUCCACUAAUUCACUUCACAAGUUACCAAACUAAACUAAAUUCAAAGUAAAAAGUUCAUAUUUCAAGUAUCUACACCUAAACUUUUUCAAGUCACUAAGUCACUUCACAAGUCCACCUUUCAAGUUACUACACUUAAAUAUUUUUGACUCACUAAUGCACUUCUCAAGUGACCACACUUAACUAAAUUCAAAACACAAGUCCACAUUUCAAGUGCCUACACUUAAACAUUUUUAAGUCACUUAUUCACUUCUCAAGUGGCCACACUUAAAUAAAUUCAAAACACAAGUCCACAUUUUAAGGACCUACACUUAAACAUUUUCAAGUCACUAACUCACUUCUCAAGUGACCUCACUUUACUAAAUUCAAAAUACAAGUCCACAUUUCAAGUACCAACACUUAAACAUUUUUGACUCACUAACUCACUUCUCUAGUGACUACACUUAACUAUAUUCAAAAAACAAGUCCACCUUUCAAGUAACUACACUUAAACAUUUUCGACUCACUAAUUCACUUCUCAAAUGACCACACUUAACUAAAUUCAAAACACAAGUCCACAUUUUAAGUACCUACACUUAAAUAUUUUCAAGCUACUUAUUCACUUCUCUAGUGACCACACUUAACUAUAUUCAAAACACAAGUUCACCUUUCACAUAAGUAUACUUAAACAUUUUCAACUCACUAAUUCACCUCUCAUGUGACCACACUUUAGUAAAUUCUACACAUUCAUGACAAGAGAGAAAUGACAUGAUAGUUUAUUCAAAAGGCGGGCAAGGAUCCAUCACAAUUAGAAUAAAGCAGAUAAAAAAUUACCAUAAAUAGUAGAGUAAGAAUAAUCAUAGAGGCAUAAUUCCACUACAAAAAGCGUGUAAAAUUACGGAGGUGUUUUUGCAGGGGUUAUUUUAAGCCCCGUAAAAUUAUAUGAAAUGCGGGGGGUUAAAAAGUCACCUCUAAAAUUUAUAAAUUAUAUUGUGAGGGUUUUAAAACCCCGCUGUCAAUAGAAAAAAAUAGCUUAUACCAUUAAAUAAAUUUCCCUCAUUUUUUAUCCAUUGACCAAAAUUUUUCCUUAUUUUUUAAUUCACACCUUACAUUCCCCCAAAAUCUCCCUCUCUCUCAUGUUUCCCCCAAAUCAGAUUCUCUGUCGUCAACCCCCCACCCCCCCAAAAAAAUCAACUCCAUUUCCGUUGAAAUUGACUCCGGUGGCCGGCCAUUAAUACGCCCUCCGGCCAUUGGAAUUGAGCUGGACUCCGAAAUUGUUAGAAUCACUUGUUGUGUCGUUGUUCUUAUAAUUUUGUUGUUCAUCUUCUAUGCAUCAUAUUCUUGUUGUUAAUAUAGUUUGGGUGGCUGAUUUGGUGUUCAAAACACCUUGUAUUCUUGUCAGUUUCUUCCUGUUAUUGUUGGCCGUGUUGUGUAAUUGUUGGGUUCAUGGUUUGUGCUUGAGUUAUGGACUAUUUUAGGACUUUUUUUGGUGCAUUUCAAGUUUGUAGUCAUGUAUCUGAAAAGAUUCUUGUAUUUGCUAAGAAUAUGAAACUCUUCUAUACUUUCUUAAAGUUUGUUGAUGAUUUUAGUCGAGAGAGCUUCAUCUCCUGUGUAGCUGUUAGAUCUACCAACAAAUCUUGUUGCCGUGAUUAAGAUAUUACUGUACAUUGUAUUUCAAAUUUCCCUUUAUCUUGUCGUAGACGUAUGAGGAGUAUCUUGAAGCUCAUGGCAGAGGCAGCAAAAUAUUGAACCACUCUGUUAGUACUCUUCUGACAUUUUUCUUGUUAUAUAUUCCUUUAUUAUAGAUAAACCCAUGAAUCAUGUUCUUUUGGGUUAGAUUUUGCAACAAUUGUAAAACGUCUCUCUGUUUCGAAAAAUUCUAUUCUAGCUUUCUUUCUAUAUUGAGAAAAGUAUUUAGAUUUCCCUUAUUAUGCAAUAAGCAGGAGAGAGCUAUUAGCUCAAUUAGUAGAGGUUGAGGGACUUGUGUUGUUUAGUCAUUGUGUGAAUCUAAGUUAGUCCAGUACUUAGUGGAUAAGGGUAGGGGAAGGUUCAUUGUCCCUGAGGUUCGAGAGCUGUGGUUGGCCCAAAGGGCCGACUCUAGAUGAAUUUCUCGGUUAUCAAAACACAAAAAAGCCUUGGUUUCAGGUUCCGUGAGUGCUAAGAACUAUAUACUACUACUUAGAUGAUGUAAGAAAAGGGAUCAAUCAGUUUCUAGACCAUGAUCUUCUGUCGCAACUCCAUACUGCCUCUGGUAGUUCUUAAGUAUACAAGACAUAGUCCUCUUUGUUGCAGUUGUUAGUUCCUUUCUAGUACACAAGACAUAGUCAUCUCUGUCAAGUAUACAAGAUAUAGUCCUUUCUGUCGCAACUCCAUACUUCUUCUGGUGUUUUUUAUUACUGAUACAGUGAGGUGAUCUUAGAAUUAGAUUAUGAUGCUUCAAGUAAGUUAAUAAAGGUCCCCUCUUUAUGGGACUAGGACAUAGGGUAGAAAUUUUGUGUACAUAUAUAUAUGUAUAUGACAUUUAUUUACUUUUCAAGAUCAUUGCGUUUUGAGUUUUCUUUGUUCUUAAAGUUCGAGAAUGAGUUCACCAAUGUUUAUUUUCAAUCAUACUUAUAGAUAUAUUUGUUCCAUGUUGAUCCUAUCAAGAAGGUAGAUUCAGUGGGAAAGAAUAUACAACAUUAAUCUUAACAAGAAAACAAUGUUAAGCUACACAGUGCAGUGUCUACUAUCUCAAGCUCAUUGCUGUUAUUUUUUUCUUUGUGUUCACUUGCUAGACUUGCCUUGUGCAUAAAUCUUGAAUCCAUUGAUGUUUAACUUCCUAGAUGUCAUCUAACUAAACACUACAUUAUUUACUGCAGAUAUGCCAAGGUUCAAGCUAUUGCAGAAAAAGAAAAAACUAGGUCCGUUGGUAUCUACAACACAAGGUACUGAAUCAGCACCUUCUUUUCUGGACCAAACAAAUCUGUCUCCGCCAAUUCAACAUGCACCGCAACUAUCUCGACUAGUUUAUUCAUCGUCCCAUCCAUCUCCUAUAGAUCAGGACACUUCACAUCCGGGUCCAACAGUUUUCCCUGAAUCACAACCAUCUCCAACAGAUCACUUGACAUCAUAUCCAUCUCUGGUUGGUGGGGAUUCAUCACAGCCAUCUCCUGUUAGUUGGGACUCAUCACUUCCAUUUCCUGUUAGUCAGGACUCAUCACAUCUAUCUCCUAUUGGUUGGAACUCAUCACAACCAUCUUCUAUUGGUUGCGACUCAUCACAGUCAUGUCCUGUUGGUUUGAACUCAUCACAACCAUCUCGAUCAGUUCACUCUACAUCACAUCUGGGUCUGACAAAUUAGGAAUCAUCACAGUCAUCUCGAUCAUUUCAUUCUACAUCAUAUUCGACUCCAACAAAUUAGGACUCAGCACAACCAGCUCCACCAGAUGAGGCUGCACCCCACAAAUAUUCUAGACGUGAAUCGAAUAUACAUUGGGUCGUUGACGCAAUAGGUAAAUACUUCAGACUAUCAAUAAAUAUUCAAUAGACCUUUCUAAGCCAAUGUAAUGUUUCUCAUAGCUUCACCCAAUCUUUUUCUUAUAACAGAUUCAAGAAAUAAUGUCAAGAAAAUCAAAGUGAAAGCUAAGAAAGUACUAAAUUUAACAGGUGAAGAACGUAUCAUGAUUAAGUUUGAUGUUUAUGAAGAACCAUUUGGGGAAGCAUGCAGAUUGUGAAAUAUUAGCGUGUGAUUGCUCUUUAUUUCCAAUCAACUUUGAGAAAUGGUCGAGUUUACCUAUGACAUACUUCAACCGCGUCUUCGAGCAUAUUAUAAAGGUAUAAGCUCUAAAUUUUGAUGACUAUACCACUGAUUAAUUUUGUCUUUGAAUUUUAUAUUUACAUGUAGUAGAAAAGCUAACCAAUAUUUCUAUUUUGAAGCCCAAAUUCUUCUUUGACACAGCCGAAUCAAUUGCUCGACGACAUGUUUCUUUAUAUAUUAGAAAAAGUGGGCUGCAAAUAAGAUUAAUAUGUGGAAUGAAGUUGAUGAUACACUUAAAAGUAAAGCUCAGAUUAUGGAUACGGUGCCGGAUGGGAUCCCAUCGGAUCAAUGAAUUUCUUUUACUGAAUACAAUUUUAAAGAAUCAACAAAGGUAUUUAUGUAUAUGAAUUUCUUUAUAGCUGUAUAAUUAUUUUUUUAUAAUUGAGGUAUAAAUAUAUUUUUAUAAGAAAAUGCGUCCAAGGAACCAUGAAAAUCGAAAAAAACAGACAAUUCCACACAUCCGUGGCUCCAAAGCCAAUGCUACAAGAAGGGCUAAAAUGGUGAGUGAAUUAACCUCGAAUGUAUUAUUCCUAAAUAGAAAAUUAUUUUGAUUAUAUUUUUUUAAUUUAUAGAUGGUCGAGACUGGACAAUGGCCUGGACGAGCACAAAUGUACAUUGCUACUCAUAAGAAUCAAGAUGGAGUAUAUGUUAAUAAAGUGGCAAAAGAAAUAUGUGUGAGUUAUACUUAUGUGCCAUAGACUAUUGUCGAGUAAUCAACCACGGUAUGCUAAAUAAGUUUUUAUUUUUAAUUUAUUUUGAUAAUAAAUUUUCUAUAUGUAGGAAAAAAUUGAGUCAGCUUUGAGCCAAAGCACUACAGAUGAGUCUUAAGUUUCUCCAAAUGAUGCCGUUGGUAAGGUUCUAGGGCAAGAGCACUAUGGAAGGGUGAGAUGCUUGGGAUUAGGAGUUGUUCCUAGUAGAGUUUUCAAACAAGAUAGACCUCGUUUUGGUGGUACAAGUACUUCAAGUAGUAGAGGUUCUUGUUCAUUCCAAUGUCGAGAAAAUUUUGCACAAAUGAUGAAUUCUCAUAAUUAGAUAAUGAGUGCUUUGAAGGCAUAUAUGAUAAUGAAAGAAGGAAAGAUACCGGAACAAUUUUUAGGGCUCUUUGAUUCUCCUUCAAUGGUUUCUCCCACAGCGAUACGUAAAGUUCUCUUUUUUUUUUCCAAUUGAAUCGAUUGUGAAAAUUUUCUCUAAUUUUAUACUUUUUUUGAAUUGGUUUGCUGCAACUUUUCUUGAUCAGAUUGGAAGUUUUUCUUGUGUUGUUUUUUGGGUUGUUGUGUUUUGUAUCCUUUGCUAUAGUAGAGUGAUUGUUGUGAGCUCUAUUAUCCUUCAAAGAAUGUUUGGAUUUCUGUAUCAUGGAUGUAUGUUUUUAAGCCUACAGUUCACUGACAUCCAUGUUACUUAUGUUUCUUGACUCCCCCACCUACAGUCAACUACCCAGUGGUUAAAAGAGCUAAAAGGUCUAGGAUGUGUAUAGAUUCGAAAAUUGGAUGAGGUAGGGAGGUUUAACAUAUAUAUAUUGUGCAGACAGGGAAUUACAUGAAGUUCAAGAUUUCCUUUUUUCUUUACCUAACACCUUUUCCCUUAAAUUACAAGUAAAUUUGAAUGGGUGAGGAUAUGUCUAUGACCCCUAAGGCUCCGGAGAAAUUAUUGAGAGAAACAUAACAAAGACUGAAAAUGGAAGGCUGCUUCGUUACAUUAGAAGAAAUGGUUCCCUUGUUAUGGAAAUUUAAUAAAUUUAAGUCUGAAGAAAAUGACCCUCUUAAUCAAGUUGAAUUUAGUAAGUUUAAUAAAUUUAACUGGGGUAGUUCUAAAUCUCUCAUCCCUGUUCAAUUUGAGAGGCUCAACGACAUUGGUUUUCAACCAAACAGAAACUUACAAAUAAAAGAAAUAUGUGAGAGUCAACACUCAAAUUUUUUCAAUUUAUGCAGUAUAAUUGUUAGAUUAUUAAAAGUUUGAUGUGUGCAAUCUGAAUAUACAGAAAUUUUCCUAAUAUUGACAUGUUAGCCAGUUCUCUGAUUCCCUUUUACAGUAUAAUGUCCGUUUUUCAAAAUUAUAAGGAAUUCACUAUUACUUAAUAUUUUUGUGGGUUUCUUGAUUGAAUCAUCUUGGACAUUUUGUGAUAACCAUGUUAAGAAGACAACAUUUCCAACCAGAAUUACUGAAAAGAGGUAAAAGAAGGAAAGAAAGAAUGCAAUCUGUUCUGCCUUGUGCAAUUAACAAUAGACAUGUCUGCAAACUGUUCUGCCUUGUGAACUGGUGCCUUGUGUGGAUUUUUUAAUUUUGCUCUUGCUAUUGUAAUUCUCUGUUUCUGUCCACCUGAUAGUUGGAGACCCCUUUUCCCUACCUAGAGUAGGACAUUUUGAAGUUGCAUGAUGUUUAACUUUUCAAUCACUAACUUUGUUACAUAUCAAAAUUAGUACUCCCUGGCAUUGGUUGUCUAAUUUGCUUAUUUUCCUUUAUGCUUCACCUUUCUUUGAGGUGCAUAUUUUUCCAAUGCUUAUGUAUCAAAAUCUCGGAAUGACAUUAAGAAAAUAUUUGUACUUGAGUUAUAAGGACUUCAAGUUUAUCGAUUGAUUUUUAUACUUUGCAUUUUUAUGUAGCCAAGUGAUGCAGCUAGUAGACCCGUUUCGCCCAUGGAUGCAAGGAGAUCACGCAAUGAUAAUGAUCUUAAUGAUAUUCUUUGAUUUCGUUGCAUUUGUAUUGGGUAUUCAAUUAUGACGACGUAAUUGUGUAGUUGGAGUGAAUCUUAGAAUAUUGAAGGUUUUGUGUUUAAAUUUAAUUUUGGAGUUUGAAGAUACUAGUUAAUAUUGAAAAUUUGGAGUUUGAAGAUGUUAAUGUUGAAAAUUUAAUUUUGAAGUUUAAUGUUCAAUGUAUUUUUAAUAUUUGUCAAUUAAAAUGUUUAAUUACUCUGUUAUAUUAAUGAUAUAUGAGUUGAAUAAAUAUUAAAUUGUACGUUAUGCCUAAAGGAACAAUUAAAUUUGAGCUAAAAUUAGAAUCUACAAUUAGUUAUUAAAAUGGAUGGGCCCUAUUAAAUUUUAAAAAAUAAUUGUGGACAUGUUUUAAACCCCCGUAAUUUCAAAAGAAUCAAAUUAAGAUUAGCGGUGGUCAAUAACCGCCGCAAAUUAAUUAUGGGGGUCAAAAAAAAAUCGUUGCAAAUUGUUUGUGAUGGCUUGAAUUGUGGGGGUUUUGGGAACCGUUGGAAUUACAUUUUGUGGGGGUUUAAAACCCCCGCGAAUCGUAAAUUUAACCCCCGCAAUUUGAACUGUUUUUUGUAGUGAAUUCAUUUGAUUCAAGUUCCAGUCGAUGUCACAGAGAUGCAGUACCAUCAAAAUACACUCAAAAGCACCUUAUGUGAUCAGAAUGCUAAGAUCCAGUAAUUGACAUGCAACUAUCAGUAUUUCAGCUGCAGUGGUAGCUCAAAACAAUAAGUCAACGAGAUAUCAAAAAUAGCCUAAGAUUAUAUAUACUAAUAUUCACUUUUUCUUUACAAAAACGAUAAAAGGCAAUGGAAAAAAGGAGAGUAAAUAAUAAAGGAAUUAAUUUGUCGCUUGAAAAUGGAAAGAAACU
rnacentral:lncRNA from 1 species